AGUGAACGCUGGCGGCAGGCCUAACACAUGCAAGUCGAGCGGCAGCACAGUGAUAGCUUCCUCUUACAGGUGGCGACGGGCGGACGAUUGAGGGGUACAUCGCAAUCAACUUGUGCGAACGUGCGAACGUGGGGGCACAUACCCUAAUACUGCAGACGACGUACGGGGGGGAGCAUCGGACCUCCCGACCUUACGUGAGCCUAUGUCGGAUUAGCUAGUUGGCGGGGUAAAGGCCUACCAAGGCGACGAUCCGUAGCUGGUCUGAGAGGAUGAGCAGUCACACUGGAACUGAGACACGGUCCAGACUCCUACGGGAGGCAGCAGUGGGGAAUAUUGGACAAUGGGCGCAAGCCUGAUCCAGCCAUGCCGCGUGUGUGAAGAAGGUCUUCGGGUUGUAAAGCACUUUUGGUGGGAAAGAAAAGCAGUAAGUUAAUACCUUGCUGUUUUGACGUUACCAAAAGAAUAAGCACCGGCUAACUUCGUG
rnacentral:rRNA from 1 species